CACACUCUCUCUCUCUCUCUCUAAUGUUCUUUUAUUCCAAUUCUAUGUCCAUUGUCUUUUAAGCAGCACCACCAUAUGAAUCUCAUUAGAAGUCCAUUUGGGUUCUCUUCCUAAACCCAGAUAACACCUCCCAAUAAAAAUGGCUGAAUUGGCUUCCAACUACCUCUUCUUAUUCUUCUUGUCGCUUCUCACUCUCUGUGCUUCUGGUACGCAACUACUGUUUCUUGAUCACGUUUCUUUACUUUACCAUUUUCUUGCCAGAUUGAAAGGAACAAAAAAGGAUGCUAAUUAGUGAUAACAAAAAAAGUUUUGGCUGCUUUAAUUCAUAAACGAACUACUGUUCUUUGCAGGAACUCAGGUGGGUUUCUCCUAUAAUGCCAGAGGGAGCAUUGCAGCUUCAUCACUUGGCAGAACAUUAUCAUUCCUUGAGCUAAACAAGGUCUCUGUACCUCACAUUCGAGUUUUCAUUGCAGAUCAUAGGGUUUUAAGCGCACUUUCUGAUUCUGGUGUGUCUGUUGAUCUUUUCUUAAAUCAAAGUCUAGUUGAGAAUUUUACCAAUGCUAGAUCAUCUGCUAUUUUGUGGCUGAAAACCCAUGUAAUGACCUUUUUGCCUCGUGUUAACAUCAAAAGUAUCACUGUUGGAGGCGGUAAUGACUUCUCUAGGCUCUUAUCUUCCUUGAAAUUGAUCCAUUCAGUUCUCAGUAGUUCUCAUUUUAAUAGUGAAGUUAAGGUCUCAGUAGCAUUUUCAUUGUUAUUCUUGGAGAAUUUGAAUGGAACACAAAAAAAUGAUCUGCUUAGGGUUUUAGGAUUUAUCAAGAGGAUUAGGUCCUUUAUCAUUGUAGAAGACAGUACUGGUAAUGGUGUAGAAUUGAGCAUGGGAGAUCUUUUUCUCAAAUCAAUGAUCCAGAAAGCAACCCUUGCCUCUUCUAUACUUCCUUGUAAUGGUGUUGCCGUAGUCAUGACUGUGAAGAGCCUUAUAGAUCCUAGUGCAAGGGAAGUAGCUCAAUUUGCAGCCAAGUUCUCAAAAUCAUUAGAGAACUCUCAGAUUGCAGGUCAGAUAACCGAAUUAUAUGCAGAAGUAUCUUCCAUGGAAGAUUUUUCAGAAAAAGAGCUUAAGAGGGAACAUGAACAAAUCUUUCCUUCUUCUCACCGAGAACUCUUGAAAACUACUUCACAUGACACAAUCAAUCCACCAGUCACUGUUCCACAAGAUAAUCCCACACCAACAAUUGUCACAGUCCCUGCUACUAAUCCUGUCACUACACCAAGUAAUCCUGCUUACACUCCUGUACCAAUCCCCUCCACCACACCUGUUAUGGUUCCCCCUACGAAUCCUUCUGUUAAUCCACCCCCACCAAUCACCAAUCCGGUCACAACACCAGCACCUGUCACAGUUCCUGGGGUGCAACCAAUAACUAAUCCUGUGACAACAUAUCCUGCCCCACCAGCAAACGUUCCGGUCACAACUCCAGUCACGAAUCCUGUGUCGCCUCCUGCAACAACAAAUGCUCCAGCAAUUCCAGGACAGAGCUGGUGUGUGGCCAAGCCUGGAGCAUCGGAAACUGCACUUCAAUCUGCUCUGGAUUAUGCAUGUGGAAUGGGAGGUGCUGAUUGUUCACAGAUCCAGCAAGAAGGGAGCUGCUAUAAUCCAAACACUCUCCAAAACCAUGCCUCGUAUGCGUUCAACAGCUAUUAUCAGAAGAAUCCGGUGGCAACCAGCUGUGAUUUUGGAGGGACAGCUGCUAUAGUCAAUACUAAUCCAAGCGCUGGCUCCUGCGUUUUUCCAUUAUCGUCAUCAUCUCCAUCAACACCAUCAACAACAACACCAUCAACAACAACACCAACUCCAUCAACUUCAACAACAAAUCCGACAAAUCCGGCAACGACACCAUCAUCUUCAGGGGCCGGAACAUCAGGAACUGUUACUCCACCAUCAGUGUUAAACUCAAGCAGCCCUGGCUCAGGUACCACAACAGGUUUUGGGUCAGAAAUACCUCCUGGUUUCAACACUUCCACAUCCAAGUCAACUACUUUGCAACCAUCUAUUGGAUGCAUCAUUCUGAUAACAUUCUUCAUUGCCAGAAUAGUCAUUCUGGACGUGUAGAAUGAAGCAUUUCUCAGUGUACAUUCAUUGGUUGGAAGUUCAUGCUUCCACAGCAGAUCAGAGUUGCGGACACCACCAUGUUUAAAGGAAAAGAAACAGAAGAUGAGAUCCACAAGGCUGAAUUAUAACACCUAGAUCCUGCUACCCGGCUGCUUCAGAUUGCACCAGUUGUAAAGAUGUUUGUUGCUCAAAGGUACAAGUUUUAAUUUUCCACGUGAAACAUAAUUUUACAUGUUUAAUGUUAGGCUGCUGUUAUUAGUAAAAGUAAUUAGGAUGGAAAAUAGUAGUAGUACAAGGGCAAUUUUGUUCCUGUAUGUCUGUGAAAAGGGGGAGAGUUUUUAGUUUAGCAUAUGUGUUGCUUUUGCUUAAUCCAGUUAAAUGAAUUUGCAUUAGAAACUUAUGUGAUGAAUGGAAAAUGCAUAGAAAGGAAAAUGGUAUAAUUUUUUUGAAUUGCAAUUUGCAUUACAAGGCAUAAUUAGAAACAGGUUUCCAUUCAAUUAUGAUAGUAAAGUAGGCUCCUUUAGAGGUCCCAUAGGCUGGUUUUGAUUCGAUUUGCAGGAAGCCGAUUUCAAUUUCAAUUUGACACAUGCUAAUUUCAGUUCAGUUUGAUUUAGACUCAUAAACCAUUGAUAUUUUGAUUUUAAAUUUAAUUGGAUCAAUUUCAAUUCGGUUCUGAACCGGAAUCUCCUCAGUCUUGAUUUAUGAGAAAGGGGGUGAAAAUUUUGUUACGUGCAUUAUUAAUGUCAAACCAGUCUUUUAACUUUACACAUGAAAAAUUGCAACUUGUUUGUCUAGAUGCUCAAAUUAUUUCAAGUAGUAAAUGCUGGCCUGGCAG
rnacentral:misc_RNA from 1 species